UCAUGGCUCAGAUUGAACGCUGGCGGCAGGCCUAACACAUGCAAGUCGAACGGUAACAGGAAGAAGCUUGCUUCUUUGCUGACGAGUGGCGGACGGGUGAGUAAUGUCUGGGAAACUGCCUGAUGGAGGGGGAUAACUACUGGAAACGGUAGCUAAUACCGCAUAACGUCGCAAGACCAAAGAGGGGGACCUUCGGGCCUCUUGCCAUCGGAUGUGCCCAGAUGGGAUUAGCUAGUAGGUGGGGUAACGGCUCACCUAGGCGACGAUCCCUAGCUGGUCUGAGAGGAUGACCAGCCACACUGGAACUGAGACACGGUCCAGACUCCUACGGGAGGCAGCAGUGGGGAAUAUUGCACAAUGGGCGCAAGCCUGAUGCAGCCAUGCCGCGUGUAUGAAGAAGGCCUUCGGGUUGUAAAGUACUUUCAGCGGGGAGGAA
rnacentral:rRNA from 1 species